rnacentral:rRNA from 1 species
GGGUUGUGAGGUUAAGCGACUAAGCGUACACGGUGGAUGCCCUGGCAGUCAGAGGCGAUGAAGGACGUGCUAAUCUGCGAUAAGCGUCGGUAAGGUGAUAUGAACCGUUAUAACCGGCGAUUUCCGAAUGGGGAAACCCAGUGUGAUUCGUCACACUAUCAUUACGUGAAUACAUAGCGUAAUGAAGCGAACCGGGGGAACUGAAACAUCUAAGUACCCCGAGGAAAAGAAAUCAACCGAGAUUCCCCCAGUAGCGGCGAGCGAACGGGGAGCAGCCCAGAGUCUGAAUCAGCUUGUGUGUUAGUGGAACGGUCUGGAAAGUCCGACGGUACAGGGUGAUAGUCCCGUACACCAAAAUGCACAGGCUGUGAACUCGAAGAGUAGGGCGGGACACGUGGUAUCCUGUCUGAAUAUGGGGGGACCAUCCUCCAAGGCUAAAUACUCCUGACUGACCGAUAGUGAACCAGUACCGUGAGGGAAAGGCGAAAAGAACCCCGGCGAGGGGAGUGAAAAAGAACCUGAAACCGUGUACGUACAAGCAGUGGGAGCCUCUUAAUGGGGUGACUGCGUACCUUUUGUAUAAUGGGUCAGCGACUUAUAUUCUGUAGCAAGGUUAACCGUAUAGGGGAGCCGAAGGGAAACCGAGUCUUAACUGGGCGUUAAGUUGCAGGGUAUAGACCCGAAACCCGGUGAUCUAGCCAUGGGCAGGUUGAAGGUUGGGUAACACUAACUGGAGGACCGAACCGACUAAUGUUGAAAAAUUAGCGGAUGACUUGUGGCUGGGGGUGAAAGGCCAAUCAAACCGGGAGAUAGCUGGUUCUCCCCGAAAGCUAUUUAGGUAGCGCCUCGUGAACUCAUCUUCGGGGGUAGAGCACUGUUUCGGCUAGGGGGUCAUCCCGACUUACCAACCCGAUGCAAACUGCGAAUACCGAAGAAUGUUAUCACGGGAGACACACGGCGGGUGCUAACGUCCGUCGUGAAGAGGGAAACAACCCAGACCGCCAGCUAAGGUCCCAAAGUCACAGUUAAGUGGGAAACGAUGUGGGAAGGCACAGACAGCCAGGAUGUUGGCUUAGAAGCAGCCAUCAUUUAAAGAAAGCGUAAUAGCUCACUGGUCGAGUCGGCCUGCGCGGAAGAUGUAACGGGGCUAAACUGUGCACCGAAGCUGCGGCAGCGACACUAUGUGUUGUUGGGUAGGGGAGCGUUCUGUAAGCCGUUGAAGGUGUGUCGUGAGGCAUGCUGGAGGUAUCAGAAGUGCGAAUGCUGACAUAAGUAACGAUAAUGCGGGUGAAAAACCCGCACGCCGGAAGACCAAGGGUUCCUGUCCAACGUUAAUCGGGGCAGGGUGAGUCGACCCCUAAGGCGAGGCCGAAAGGCGUAGUCGAUGGGAAACAGGUUAAUAUUCCUGUACUUGGUGUUACUGCGAAGGGGGGACGGAGAAGGCUAUGUUAGCCGGGCGACGGUUGUCCCGGUUUAAGCAUGUAGGCGGAGGUUCCAGGUAAAUCCGGUACCUUAUUAACGCUGAGGUGUGAUGACGAGGCACUACGGUGCUGAAGUAACAAAUGCCCUGCUUCCAGGAAAAGCCUCUAAGCAUCAGGUAACACGAAAUCGUACCCCAAACCGACACAGGUGGUCAGGUAGAGAAUACCAAGGCGCUUGAGAGAACUCGGGUGAAGGAACUAGGCAAAAUGGUGCCGUAACUUCGGGAGAAGGCACGCUGAUAUGUAGGUGAAG